rnacentral:rRNA from 1 species
CCCUUAGAUGUUCUGGGCUGCACGCGCGCUACACUGAUGCGUUCAACGAGUUUAUGACCUUGCCCGAUAGGGUUGGGUAAUCUUUUUAAAUCGCAUCGUGAUGGGGAUAGAUUAUUGCAAUUAUUAAUCUUCAACGAGGAAUUCCUAGUAAGCGCGAGUCAUCAGCUCGUGCUGAUUACGUCCCUGCCCUUUGUACACACCGCCCGUUGCUCCUACCGAUUGAGUGAUCCGGUGAAUAAUUCGGACUGCAGCAGUGUUCAGUUCCUGAACGUUGCAGCGGAAAGUUUAGUGAACCUUAUCACUUAGAGGAAGGAGAAGUCGUAACA